rnacentral:rRNA from 1 species
ACGAAUGGGGCAAGCGUUGUUCGGAAUCACUGGGCUUAAAGCGUGCGCAGGCGGUCUUGAAAGUCAGGAGUGAAAUCCCAGGGCUCAACCCUGGAAUUGCUUUUGAAACUCCAAGACUAGAAUACUGGAGAGGUUAGCAGAAUUCCGAGUGUAGAGGUGAAAUUCGCAGAUAUUCGGAGGAAUACCAAUGGCGAAGGCAGCUAACUGGACAGUCAUUGACGCUCAGGCACGAAAGCGUGGGUAGCAAACGGGA